rnacentral:tRNA from 1 species
GGUGAGGUGGCAGAGCGGUAAUGCGUGCGGCUGCAAACCGCAUAUACGGGAGUUCGAAUCUCUCCCUCACCA